GAUGAACGCUGGCGGCAUGCCUAACACAUGCAAGUCGAGCGAAGCGGGGACGGGUGAGUAACACGUGGGUAACCUCCUAUAAGGCUGGGAUACCUUCGGGAACCCGGGACUAACCCGAAUACAUCUAGAUGGUUCCGCGCUGCAUUAGCUAGUUGUUACGGUAAUGGCCUACAAAGCCAACGAUGCCUAGCCGACCGGAGAGGGGGAUCAGCCACACUGGAACGGAGACACGGUCCAGACUCCUACGGGAGGCAGCAGUGGGGAAUCUUCCGCAAUGGGCGAAGGCCUGACGGAGCAAUGCCGCGUGAGUGAUGAAGGUCUUCGGAUCGUAAAACUCUUUUAGUAGGGAAGCGGUACCUAAUCAGAAAGCCACGGCUAACUACGUGCCAGCAGCCGCGGUAAUUC
rnacentral:rRNA from 1 species